GUGACGAAAAAUUGAAACCGAAAAUCUAACAAUAAAGAACACCAAGUUUAACAUGGAAAAACCCUUCAAUCCGAAGGUAACCAGCACGGGAUCAACAAGAUCCGAAUUGCUUCACUAUAACAAUAACAGAGUUACAAAUAUUCUUAUAAUAGAUACACAACAAGUGCCAAAAGAGAAUAAACAAUAGCUACACCAAAAAAAAGAUAAAUAGAAAGAAACACCACACAAACUCAGCUUCUGUUUGGGACCUAAAACAUGAUCUUUCUGACCUCCAAAUCUGAUCUCCAUCGUUCAAAUUAACCGCCAAGAUGUCAAAAACACUCAGUUCAAAUUUAAGCCCGAUCCAACGGUUCGUUAAUCAGUAAAUACGAUCUGAACAUUGCUGGUCGGAGAAAAAUACUGCAGCAAAAGGACCCUUUUCUUUCUCUCUUUUUCUCUUGUUGAAAGCUCUCUCAAAAACCUCUCUUAUGUUCUAAUGUCUUUCAAAGACAAUACCAAUGAGCAAUUAAUUAUUCUCUCAAAACCAUCCUCUAUUUAUAGAGUUGUGCUUUUCCUUACAAAGCCAAAACCAAGUACAAAUAGGAUUACUAUUUCAAUCCUUCCUAAUAGAAUUGGAAACCAAAUAAAGAGAAUAAUUCCAAUCCUUUUCCAAGUAGGAAUAGGCCAUGGGCCUUUAACAGGAACAUGGGCAAUAGCCCAACAAACUCCCCCUCUAGCCAAGGGGCCAAAAAGACUUCAAGUGGAGGAUCUCUUGACAGGCUUCCUGUCUGCCACACUUCUACAAAACUCAUGAUUGUCUACGAUGAGUUCUUUCCACUUAUCUCUAUGAGUAUCUAACAUGAUUUAAUCAUAACCUUCAGGUUCUCUCAUAUUAGUCAAUAGAAUAUACUCAUCAUGAGAAUAACGUGUUGAGCUUCGCUUCUCUCUAGUAGAUCUUCUACAAGAGGUUUCUGGAUCAAAGUGAACUGUAUGGUGAAAAUUGUGACAAAAACAGACAGAAAUUUGAUUCAUCCGUUGGUUCUUUAAUUCGGGCCAAGGAUCGAAUUUUGGAUCCAAUUAAGAAAAAAAGGAAAGGAAAAUGGAUAUUCAAGAAUGAAGCCAAAAGGUGAGGAAAAAAAAGAAGAAAAACACAUCACAGAUGACAUUCAAAAGCAAAACAGGACAAAAACAUGAAAAACAAUAAAUUUUGACAUGCAAUCAGUCUCAAUGCAACAAAUACAACAUAAAUCUAUGGGAUUAAGUUUUGAGGUUUGUUCUCUCUUUAAUUAGUUAAAUAAUUCUUUCAUUGUUUAUUAUUAUAUUCAUGCAUAUACCAAUCUUGAUAUUUUUUUUUCUAUAUCAAAUAUGCAGUUACAUGGAGGUUCAUCAAGCAUUUUCCCUCAAUUUUUGACUCAAAAUCUGAAUUCACAAUUUGGAGCUUGCAUGCAGAGUCAACUAUUAAACAAAGAGAUAUUUGAAGAAAAUUCAAUUUGAUAUUUGGUGAAGAUCUUAAUUUUUGAUAUUUGAAGCAUAAAAAUCAAUGCAACAAAUAUUUUUUUGUAUUUUGAAUUACAAGUAACAUGCAAGUAAGAAGAUCCAUAGAGAUCUAUUGUCAAAUAUAAUAUAUAUGCAACCUUUAAUUUAGUUGUGUUGAUAGUAUUAAAGAGUUCAAGAAAUAUGAAGAAAAAUUCUUACCUGAAAAACGUAUAUAGGUACUUCUGAUUUUUUUUCUCCUUAGAAAAUUUGAAUGUAGAUAAUUCUUCAUAUUUUUUUUGUCCUUUGAAGAAGAGAAAAGAAUCUUGUUCACCUUUAUUUUUUUCAGCCCUUUUGAAGAAGUCAAAAGAAACCCAAACGCUUCUUCAUCUUCUCUUUCUUAGAUUCAAGUGAAUAUUUAAGUUAACAUUUAAUAUUGUAGGGCCCUAUUUACUUUUGAUGUUUUGCCAGCUCCUUUCUAGAAGAGAAAAUAAAUACAAGAACGUUUUUCAUCUUCUCUCUCUUAGAUAUAAGUGCAUAUUUAUUGCUUACUUUUUAUUUUAAUCCAGCUCCUUUGUAAAAGAGAAAAUAAAUUCAAGAACCUUUUUCAUCUUCUCUCUCUUUAAUAUAAGUGCAUAUUUAAUGUUGUCAACCCCACAAUUUACUUUUUUAUUUUUUUCAACUUUUAUAUUAAGAAAGGUCCCACAAAUCAUGUGUCAAAAAAUGGGUGGAGCCUCAUCCAACUUUGGUUGGUUGGACCUCUACCACCAUAAAAAUCUUUCAUAUAUACCUGAUUAGGGUUUUGGAUAUAAGUAGCAAUUUAACAAAUUGGAGACAGAAAAUUUGAAGAAUUACU
rnacentral:lncRNA from 1 species